rnacentral:misc_RNA from 1 species
AACGCACAUUGCGCUCUCUGGUAUUCCGGAGAGCAUGCCUGUCUGAGCGUCAUUAAACCCUAUUUAGCCAGUGCCUUUUCUUAUCGAAAGGCAAGACUGUGCUGAGUGUUGGAUGAAGCAGCUUGCUCGUCUGAAUGGUAUCGUUAACAACGUUUCUAUACGUUUUCGUUGCUUAGCGUAUGAUUAUGAACUUUAAUACCGUUUAUGAUCGCCAUUAUUUUGACCUCAGAUCAGGCAGGACUACGCGCUGAACUUAA